UGAGGAAUAUUGGGCAAUGCCCGCAAGGGUGACCCAGCAACGCCGCGUGGAGGAUGAAUGUCGUAAGAUUGUAAACUCCUGUUAGAGGGGAAGAAUAGUACCGGUUGGACCGGUAUAUGACUGUACCCUCAGAGAAAGCCCCGGCUAACUACGUGCCAGCAGCCGCGGUAAUACGUAGGGGGCAAGCGUUGUCCGGAUUUACUGGGUGUAAAGGGCGCGCAGGCGGGAUAAAAAGUCAGUGGUGAAAUCCUACAGCUUAACUGUAGAACUGCUUUUGAUACUUUUAUUCUUGAGUUCGGGAGAGAGAGACGGAAUUCCAAGUGUAGUGGUGAAAUACGUAGAUAUCUGGAAGAACACCAGUUGCGAAGGCGGUCUCUUGGUCCGACACUGACGCUGAGGCGCGAAAGAGUGGGGAGCAAACA
rnacentral:rRNA from 1 species